GCUCUGACGGGGGUUUCCCAUUCUGGAAAUGGUCCCUAUUUAUUUCCUUAUGGGUAAUAUCCGGAGGGGUGACGUUGAAUUAUGAGUAUAAAAGCAAGGCAAAUCUAAAAUACCAAGGAUCGCUUUAGAGGGCUAUAGAACAAGGUAAGACCUGCAUUCUAGCUCAUGUUAAAAUGAUUGAUGCGAGUGGACCACUACACCAUUAACUCUACAGCGGAAAGAUGCCUGAAUAUGAAGUGGUCAUAACGACUACAGAUCGUCUCGGUGCCAUCACUUGGGAUCAUGUCCACAUUCAGCUAUUCGGGGAAGUUGGGGAGAGCAAACGCAAAGCCGUCCCUACUGAACGUUUUUUAGAAUCUGGAUCUGUCUUAAAAGGUACGGUGGACUGCAGAAUGUCCAUUGGCAAACUGGUGCGUAUUCAGCUGGACAAAACCGCCGGUCUAUUAAGAAUCAUUCCAGGGGGAUUGCUACAAACAGCAGGAGACUGGUUCCCUGCCACGGUGGAUGUCAAGUCCCCUGAAGGAGAGACCUUCCGCUUCCCCAUCCAUCACUGGAUCACUUUAAUUUAAUAAUGAAGUUCAUGAGUUCAGAGAGGCCACAGCUCGUUUAGAAUUAGAUGACAAAAGGCUUUGUGUGAGAAAAACCAGAGCGUAUGAGUUGAAACUGAGAAAGGAACAGUAUCGGUAUGUAAUUUAAAAUUCAACAUUUCACCAACAAUUCAGAUGCUUAUUUGUUGCUAGGAUUGGAGUUGCUAGGUUACGGGGACGCUGGCGACACUGACGCCGCUCCGUCUGCCUUGUUUUUAUUUAAGUUUUUCAAGUUUUCGCAAUUUAAUCUAUUUUAUUUUUAUGACAAAGUUUGUCAUACGUUUUAACUUCGUUUUGGCCUUCUUUUGUCACAAUUUUUCUUGCACUUUACCCCAUCCUGAGCUUCAUUUUGGAUAUCCAACGCCUCGGUCGAUCUGAAGCUGGUUGCCUGUGCUCCACCGCUGCUGUUUUUGGGCUACUCGAUGUCUCUCUCCCUCUCCUUCAUCCUGUCGGCGGAUUUGACGCUGACCAGCAGCUAGGUUAGUCGGUUGACUAAUAACUAGCCCUCCCAGGGAGAUUGAGGCUUUGCGCUGUGCUUUGCCUGAGCUGCUGUAGCCUACUAAACAUGGGAUAUAUCUAAACCGCGAAGCAGCUCCAACAGCUUGCCUCCUAUGCCAUCAGUUCCAUCUAUGAAGAUGUACUCCAGCUUUGCCAGGUUACGGGGAUCCGUCGGAGGAAGCGCUACAUACACAGAGGGUCUCGUCGCUCCUUCAAGAUCUACAAUCGAGCAACGGAGGAUGCCAUACCGACUAUCCAGUCUCGGCGCGGCUCUCCUGGAUGAUCCUCUCCUGUAGGCAACUCUGCACCCCGCAAGGAAGUCCUCCAUCAACACUUCACAGGCCGGAAUGAUCUCUCCCUGGCUCGUUGUUCGUGGGAUCCGAGGUUCUCCUGCCAUGUAGGCCUGUCCAUCACCCCGCACCGACCCCAAACACCUGUCAGCUCUGCUCGUCCGAGAUUGCGGAUCCGUAGCGGUGGGGUGAAUCCCCUGAACAUCCGCCCUCUGGAAUACUGCCGUCACCCUCAGACUGUGAUUCACUCCACAGCCAAACCCGCCCUGGUCAACAGCAGGUCUGUGUCGAACAAAACUUUCGUUUUAAAUUACUUUUUCUCUCGUCACAAUCUGGACUUCCUAUUUUUAACCGAGACUUGGAUAGGCGCUGGAGUUGGUCAGUUUUCAGCGAACUUUGCCCCACCAACUGCUCGUUUAUUAGCACGCCAAGGUGCGUUGGAAGAGGAGGCGGAGUAGCUCUCGUUUUCAAGAAUGAUUUUAAAGGCCCACUAUGCAACUUCGGGCAUUUCUUCGCUCUUUUCUUGGUUUUGGCACGCACAUUUCUCUACACAGCGCCCCCUACAACUUCGUAGUAGAUAUUUCACAACACUGUCGUAACAACUCGUUGACGACCCUUCCCCAUGCACUUCUACGCGAGCCAUGUGCAUUUGUUUUCAAAGAAGCCGGCGAAUGCGUGGAGCCAUGUCCGAAGUAGAUGUUCAUAAAGUGUAGGGAAGGUUAUACAUUUUUAAAAGGGUGUAUUUGUAUUGCAAUAAACAUAAAUCCAUCCUUUUUUAUAGUUGACGGGGAGAAUUUAUAUCCUAGAUUAUAAUUGUUUUAUCUUAGGUUGAACAGAACAAUCAGUGUAAGAGGUUUGGCCAACAUAAUAAUCUAAAUAAACAAGAACCUGGAUUCGGGGAUUCAGUCUGUAUCUGGGGGACGAGACAGACGAACAGCCUGUUGUAUUAAGGUAAAUCAAGCCAAAAAAGUUGCAUAGUUCCCCUUUCACUCGUGUCUGAUCUCUUUUCUGGUCCAUUCUUCUUUUGUUCCACCGACGGUCGCCUCUUGGGUCCCUUAUCAGUCGAUUGUUCCAUGAUGAAUGCAACAAUUGCCUCGCAACUGGCUGUUUAUAUCUAGCCGGUGCCAUGUUUGGGUGUGUGUCUGUGCCGUAAAGCAUUUUCGAAACUACAAUCUGACUACAUUUUCGAGGAUACUUCCGCUGCGUCACGUCCGGAAUGUCCCGGUCCGAGCAGAUCAAGUAGCAUAUGCGCUUUUUCACUGUAGAGGCGACAUGGGAAAAUGACACACCCACCAAUCGACCCAGAAAUGGAUGCAGAACCAUCAGCAUAACUCUCAACCUGCAUACUUAAUGUAAUUUUGGCUAAAAAAGUUGCAUAGUGGGCCUUUAAAGUACGGACACUCUCUGUAGGCAGUUUUUCCACUUUCGAACUGCAAUGCAUAAUUGUAGAAUCUGCCACGUCCCCACUGGCUUGUGUUCUGAUCUGUAGACCCCCUAAGCCUGACAAAGACUUUAUAACAGAAUUCUCGGACUUUCUGUCCCAUUUUGUGUCAUUGUACGAUCGUCUGCUCAUACUUGGUGACUUUAAUAUCCAUGUCUGCUGUCCAGACAGACCCAUGGUCAACGAAUUCUGUGGUUUAAUAGAUGCCUUUGGUCUCACUCAACAUAUAAACAAAGCUACCCAUUUACUGGGACAUACACUUGACCUUAUUUUAUCAUAUGGUUUUUCUGUUGAUAAUAUUGUAAUUGAGGAUGCCACUUUCUCUGAUCACAGACCUAUUAUGUUUGAUGUUACCCUCUCCAAUC